UCUAGCAACUUACCAAACGACAUUAUACCGUAGAAGAAGAAGACUCGCCGUCUGUUGGAGUGAUCCAUUUUCGUGAACAGGUUGAUGAACAAAAUAAACCGGCCUGGACACUGGGUGUAUGUAAUAGCCUAAACAUUACGACACUUCUAGUCAAUCAAACAAGCCUCACGUAAAUCGACAAACUCUCAUACACCUCCAUACAAAAAAAGGGUUUAACUCACGUGGACACAUUUUGGGCGGAGUAAAUCCUCUCGCUUCGCCUCUUCAUCUGAUUACCUUGAAAACAACGGUCGGACAUCUUGGACGCAGUGUCCAAUUCUUGAAUUUAUACCAGUGGUCGAGUCAGUAGCUAGUGCUUUGAAAACUUCAUUGGAGUAUCGGCGCUCCGGUAUCACGAGUCCCAUCACAAAGCCUCUAGCGCGACCGAACAAAGCACAUACUAUAACAUAUAUUUAGGUACUUCCUAGCUACUGUAGUUAGCAACAACAAUGAGAAACUGCUGUGCGGUGAACUGUGCUAAUAGAGGUGGUCAAGGAUGGAGAUUAUUCACUAUACCAAGAGGAUCUCACCCCUUCCAAAAGAAUAGAAGACGGUUGUGGCUGCAAGCCAUAAAACGAGUGGAUUGGGUCCUGAUGGUCUGAGGGGUGAUUAUAGCUUGUGUGGAGCUCAUUUCAUCUCUGGAGAACCUUCUAUGGACUACGACAGCCCCGAUUUUGUUCCAUCAAUAUUUCCCCAAGGCAAACAGACAAGAAACUCAAGAAAGACAAGAUGCAGUAAAGCACAGUCUAACGGCAGUGCUGUUGCCAUGGCAAGCCCAGACACAGAGGUCGAUGACCUUCCUGACUGUUCUGAAGGUACACAGUUAUGUUAACACUUAGGCUUUGACAUUGUAAGGCAUUACUGCUGAGCGAUUAACCAAAAUGUCAGUUAUUUUUCGUUUUUUAAACAACUAAUUGACAGAUGUCGGUUAAAUAAUUUUAAUUCCAUUUCGUUCAGUUUUUUUUCCUGUGAGCUCAAUGCGCACAUCACACAGUUUCUUUAGAGAUAAAUAAGAUCAAGCCUGAACUUCACAAUGUAGUAGGGAGUUGUAGUUUCCAACAGGCCAACAUUCUACAUAGUUUAGCGCAUAAAACAUGGUAGUUGACUACAAUGACCAUAAUCCAUUGCGCAUCUACUCGUCCAGUCUGUUUCUUUUAUAACUGCUACUACGGAAUAGAGAAGAGUGCAAAGUGCGUGAUGUGAGGAGAUUACAGAGAGCAGCUGUUGCUCUACCUGAAAAUACAUGAUCUAAGUGAUUGAUAGUUGGUAUUCAGCAGUCCUAAAAGUAUGCCUUCAUUUUGUAGUUCUACAAAGUAAAUGUUAUUUUGUCAAGACAGCAUAGGCAGCAGCUCUAUAGAGAUGAGAUGAUGACUUGGAAUAAAAUGAUAGUAAUUAAAUAAAACAAAUGUAAUAUACACAACAAGGAACACCUAGGUCCUGGAGAACAGGAGCAGAGUUAAAGGGAACAGGGUAGGAGACAGAGACGUAAACAAGCAAACACACAUCACUCACCCUCCCCCGUAAAGAUGUUCAUGUUCACAAGCAAUCUUUCAUAAUUUCAUAUCACUGUCAUUUGUCUGUAAAAACAAAGUUGAGCAAAUAAAGUUGUUGCUGUCACCCUGCGAAAACUA